GCAUCAGCCAACAGUGGACAUGGCACCUGCCCGGUAAGCAGAAGGUUGUGGGUUCGAUUCCCGCCCCUGGACA